rnacentral:tRNA from 1 species
GGACAGGUGGGUGAGCGGCUUAAACCAGCGGAUUGCUAAUCCGCCAUACCCAACAGGGUAUCGAGGGUUCGAAUCCCUCCCUGUCCGCCA